UACAGAGGUCCCGAGCGUUGUUCGGAUUCAUUGGGCGUAAAGGGUGCGUAGGCGGCGGGGCAAGUCUGAUGUGAAAUCCCGGGGCUCAACCCCCGGAACUGCAUUGGAUACUGCCUUGCUAGAGUACUGGAGAGGGAACUGGAAUUUACGGUGUAGCAGUGAAAUGCGUAGAGAUCGUAAGGAAGGCCAGUGGCGAAGGCGAGUUCCUGGACAGUUACUGACGCUGAGGCACGAAGGCCAGGGGAGCAAACGGG
rnacentral:rRNA from 1 species